AUGGGAUUUUCAAGGCAAGAGUACUGGAGUGGGGUGCCAUCACCUUCUCCGUCACGAACAAUUUCAUGGACUCCGACAAGAAAGCGAUGGAGCUCUAAGAAACAAAUUACAGCCACUCUCAGUUCAGCACAGCAUCGGCAGACAUUGGUGUUUACUCAUCACAGGAGCAUCUACUAACAGUCAGUGGGAGACAUGGAGUUACCAUGUUAGAGAUAAUUUCUCCAGUUCGCAGAGAGUGAGAAUGGUGUCCUCAAGAUCUCACCCUGGAGGGCCGGCUCCCUGUGCAGCCCCUCCCAGCUGGCAGGGGUUGGCAGAAAGGGUAAACCUUCUUGGAUGGCCUUCAGACUGGAGCACAGUAAACACCAGAAGGUGAAUAUUUCCCAAAUCCUGUUGACAAAAAUUCCUCCUCAUGGAUCCAGUCACAGAUGGAAGGGAAUGUCCAGGGGCCCGUUAAGUAAGCUAUCUAGUUUGAAGGAAUUGCCGAAAGCAGCAAAAUUGCUGAAGACAAGUGGCUCUGAGCAGGCUCAGAAACCAGUGCCCCCUCCCAGAGAAGCAAGGACCCCUGGACAACACCCCAGACGAAAAGUCGAACUCAGAAGAAAGGAGACUGGAGUGAAGAGGGAUAGUCUACGAGAAAGAAAAAGCCACGUGUGCCAAGAGGUCAGCGAGCCCCAGGAAGAUGACUGCCUCUAUGGAAGGGAAUGUCCAGGGGCCCAUUAAGUAAGCUAUCUAGUUUGAAGGAAUUGCCGAAAGCAGCAAAAUUGCUGAAGACAAGUGGCUCUGAGCAGGCUCAGAAACCAGUGCCCCCUCCCAGAGAAGCAAGGACCCCUGGACAACACCCCAGACGAAAAGUCGAACUCAGAAGAAAGGAGACUGGAGUGAAGAGGGAUAGUCUACGAGAAAGAAAAAGCCACGUGUGCCAAGAGGUCAGCGAGCCCCAGGAAGAUGACUGCCUCUGUGAGUGACCCUGCUGGCCCACUCACGGAGAAGGGGUUAUGAGGCCUCGGUCCAGUAACCUCACCUCGCCAUCUGGUCCCCCAAUCUUUCUGAAGGUCUUUACGACCAGCAACAUCACUAUACCUCCCUUCGUCCCCGUUGCUCUAGCCUCCAGAUUGUGAGGAGUGUCAGAAAUUCUUCAUCGACAGCUGUGCUGCCCAUGUUGCUCCAACCUUUGUAAAGGACUCUGCACUGGAGAAGGGGCAUGCGAACCACUCAGCCCUCACUCUGCCCUCUGGGUUAAGUUUCAGACUCUCGGGCAUCCCUGAGGCUGGGCUUGGAAUAUGGAACGAGGCUCCCGAUCUUCCUCUGGGCCUGCACUUUGGCCCCUAUGAGAGCCAGAUCACAGACAAUGAAGAGGCCGCCAAGAGUGGAUACUCCUUGGCUUGUGAGGAAUAACCCUCUUUGCCUGUCCUCUGGCCUCAAAUCGCUUGUGUGUGGUGGAGAGUUACUCCACGUCUACAUGCAAGGAUGCACAUGGUGAUGACAUGGUCGGCAAUGACACAGUCGGCCCUGUGUACUGUGUGCCCUGGGCAUGAACACAGGACUGCUAAAGAUCAGAGGAAGGUGGGACACAGUGGUACAGGCACACAGGACUUCUAUCUAAAGAUCAGAGGAGAUGUGGGAGGCGGUGGUACGGGCAUACAGAAGUGACUCCUCACUUGUGGAGCCCUUGCCUUCAAUGUGCCAAUAGACUCAGACUUGGAAUGAUGAUUAAGGAGCUUACCAUGUGGUCCCACUGGCAGUUGAAUCCAUGCAGGCUGAAGAGCACCAAUGACAGCAGAGGGAAAUAGUUCUUCUAUUCAGUUCAGUUCAGUUCAAUCGCUCAGUCGUGUCCGACUCUUUGCGAGCCCGUGAAUCACAGCACGCCAGGCCUCCCUGUCCAUCACCAACUCCCGGAGUUUACCUAGAC